rnacentral:lncRNA from 1 species
UCUUUUCAUCCUUUGGCUGUGUGGGGAUGAUAUUUUUCCUUUGAUUUUGCUCUAUGUGGAUAUUUUCUCCAUCAUUUAGCUCUGUGUGGAUGGCUUAUGAAUCAUGAUUUAUGUAACACAUUUGGUACAAGGUGGUCACAAUUACUUAUAACUAUUUGAUUUGAAAUCUGAUAGUGUUUGUAUGUCAAAAUUCAAAAAAAAUUCUUUUGACUUUGAGUUUGGUCAAUGAAAUAAGUAAAACCACUUAAUUUACAUCCAAUGGUCAAGAUUAAUUGUGACCACCUUAUACCAAAGAAAAUAGCCUCAUUAAAUACAUUCCUUAUAAAUCUCCUCAAAUUUUCCUUUUCCUUUGAAAGUUACUUUUCAUAACGUCUCAACUUCACUGUUUUCAAGUUGCAGCCAUUUUUGUUUUGUUCUCAUAUUUUCGAGUAGCAUCCGCGACAACAAAAUGGAAGUUUCCAAACACAUGGGUUGUCAAAAGAUCUCUAAAAUACAAGUUAGGCCUACCAUUUUUCAAUAAUUAAUCGAUCUAGAGAAUAAAAAUAGUGCCUAUAUUCCAUGUCAGAUACCAAUUCAAAGAGGAAAAGAAAAGAAAUGUUCAUUUUAUCGUCACACUCCGUAAAUAAGGGUGGCAAUGGGCCUUGUUGGGUCUGGACCCAGACCCCAAAACAAUGAUAUGGGACCUGGAUCCAAAAAUAUAGUGUGGGACCCUGAUCCGACCAAAAAAUUAAAAUAUUUGAGACCCAAAAAAUAUAUUUAACUAUAUUUCAAUAGAUUCCAUAUAUGGGACCCGAAAAGUAUUAUCAAACCCAUAC